rnacentral:lncRNA from 1 species
GAGGGAUGAGAAAGCAUAAGAGUUUGUCAACUUAAAGUAAAUCAAGAUGUUAGUUAAAGAGUAUGCCUUGAAGUUUCACCAGUUAUCAUGGUAUGCUCUAAAGUUGGUUUCUAUCAUGAGGGCUAGAAUGAGGAAGUUCACUUUCAGGUUGUCCUGAGACUUGCUUUUAGAUAGUAAGUUUGUCUUGUUAAACAAAGAUAUGGACAUCUCUAGAAUAGUUAUGUAUAU